AGCACUUUAGCUUAGCGGUUAGAGCAUUCUCGUGAGAACUGAUCAUCUCUGAGAAGACGUCGGUUCGAUUCCGGCAAGUGCGG